CCUACGGGAGGCAGCAGUGGGGGAUAUUGCACAAUGGAGGAAACUCUGAUGCAGCGACGCCGCGUGAGGGAAGACGGUCUUCGGAUCGUAAACCUCUGUCUUCGGGGAAGAAAAUGACGGUACCCAAAGAGGAAUCUCCGGCGAAUUACGUGCCAGCAGCCGCGGUAAUACGUCGGGAGAGAGCGUUGUCGGGAAUUACUGGGUGGAAAGGGAGCGUAGGCGGGCGAGAAAGUUGCAGGUUAAAUCUGCCGGCUUAACUGGUAGCUGCGUUCAAAACUUCAUGACUUGAGUGAAGUAGAGGAUGGUGGAAUGCCAAGUGUAGCGGUGAAAUGCGUAGAUAUUAGGAGGAACACCAGUGGCGAAGGCGGCCUGCUGGCAUUUAACUGACGCUGAGGCUCGAAAGCGUGGGGAGCAAACAGGAUUAGAUACCCUUGUAGUC
rnacentral:rRNA from 1 species